CGUGGGUAACCUGCCCAAGAGAUCGGGAUAACACCUGGAAACAGAUGCUAAUACCGGAUAACAACAGAUGAUGCCUAUCAACUGUUUAAAAGAUGGUUCUGCUAUCACUCUUGGAUGGACCUGCGGUGCAUUAGCUAGUUGGUAGGGUAACGGCCUACCAAGGCGAUGAUGCAUAGCCGAGUUGAGAGACCGAUCGGCCACAUUGGGACUGAGACACGGCCCAAACUCCUACGGGAGGCAGCAGAU
rnacentral:rRNA from 1 species